rnacentral:snoRNA from 1 species
GAGAGAAGUGAUGAUAUUACAUUUCCACACGAGAUAUCUGCAUUCACCUUGAUGAUCACAUCAUGCACUACCAUCUGAUCUCUC